UGGUCAAGUUAUUAAGGGUGCAGGGCGGAUGCCUUGGCACUAGGAGCCGAUGAAGGACGUGAUAAGCUGCGAUAAGCUUCGGGGAGUUGCACGUAAACUUUGAUCCGAAGAUUUCCGAAUGAGGAAACUCACUUAGAGUAAUGUCUAAGUAUCAUUAAGUGAAUACAUAGCUUAAUGAGGGGAACUCAGGGAACUGAAACAUCUAAGUACCUG
rnacentral:rRNA from 1 species